rnacentral:misc_RNA from 1 species
AACCAUAGAAACCUGCGGAGUACCUGCGGAAGGAUCAUUACAGAGUUCAUGCCCUCACGGGUAGAUCUCCCACCCUUGAAUACUAUACCUUUGUUGCUUUGGCGGGCCGCUUUGGCUACUGGCUCUGGCUAGUAAGUGCCCGCCAAAGAACCCCAAAACUCUGAAUAUUAGUGUCGUCUGAGUACUAUAUAAUAGUUAAAACUUUUAACAAUGGAUCU